rnacentral:rRNA from 1 species
ACACCGACAGCCCAAGCGUUGUCCAUAUUUAUUGGGCCUAAAGCGUUCGUAGCCGGCCUGAUAAGUCUCUGGUGAAAUCCCGCAGCUUAACUGUGGGAAUUGCUGGAGAUACUAUCAGGCUUGAGGUCGGGAGAGGUUAGAGGUACUCCCAGGGUAGGGUGGAAAUCCUAUAAUCCUGGGAGGACCAACUGUGGCGCAGGGGUCUAACUGGAAGGAACCUGACGGUGAGUAACGAAAGCCAGGGGGGCGAACCGGAUGAGAUGCCCGGGUAGUCCUGGCCGUAAACGAUGUGGACUUGGUGUUGGGAGGGCCUCGAGCUGCCCCAGUGCCGAAGGGAAGCUGUUAAGUCCACCGCCUGGGAAGUACGGUCGCAAGACUGAAACUUAAAGGAAUUGGCGGGG